CUGCUGCCUAUCCAGGGGUGAGCCAACUGCCAACCUUACAGGAGUUGCUGGAAGGCAUCUCUCCACAGCCACAGCACACACAACCAAAGGUGAAGGAUGACGGGAGUGGCAAUCCAGCAACAGCUAUGAAAUAAAAUGCAAUACCUGGAUGUCUUAAAUCACACAGAAGAAAGGAAGAGGAAACAGACACAUGCACAAGGCACAAGCUUAAUCAGCUUCCUUACAGUGUAACAUCCCACUCUACCGGUGUUGCUGAUGCAGAGAGUGGCUUGGCCCAGCUCCCUCAAUACAACAUGUCUGGCUAAAGCGACUCAGUGACGUAGCACUGUGACCCACAGCUUCAUCCUACCACUGG